GAAAGAGGCUUGCCAGCAACGAAAGCUGCUAACUUCCGUGCCCCUGGUUGGACUCCAGGGCUCAUUCA
rnacentral:tRNA from 1 species